UACAGAGGGUGCGAGCGUUAAUCGGAAUUACUGGGCGUAAAGCGCACGUAGUCGGCUUUGCAAGUCGGGUGUGAAAUCCCCGGGCUCAACCUGGGAACUGCAUCCGAGACUGCAUUGCUAGAGUAUGGGAGAGGGAAGCGGAAUUCCUGGUGUAGCGGUGAAAUGCGUAGAUAUCGGAAAGAACACCAGUGGCGAAGGCGACUCUCUGGCCUAAUAUUGACGCUGAGGCGCGAAAGCGUGGGGAGCAAACAGG
rnacentral:rRNA from 1 species